GCACCCCUCCUUGCCACUCCGCAGAAAAGAUCAUCUGAAUUAACAUGAGCUUCUUGGCUAUUAAAUGGAGAUUUUAAAUGGGAAGAAAAUUCUGCAGUGAUUGCUAAACUGUGUGUCAGCAGAAAGGAGGAAAAAGCAAUGUGUGUCGUUCCUAUUAUCAUCUUCAAAUCCAUCUUCCUUCUACACGCCAUGACGGUGGAUAAUCCCUGAUACGAUGCCCGCAUCACUAAUAUUUGCAGAGAAAACAUGGCCAAGAGGAGGGUGAAAUAGCAAGCGUGUGUAUCCAAGGCUGCAGAAGAGCAUCAUCAAGAAGAAAAAGAUCUGUGCUGCUUCAUUCCUGCCUGUGGACACGCACAGAGAUCAGACAGGAGUGCCAGGGCACGCCUCCCAGGGAUUUUUGACAAGCCACUUCCGGCAGCUCGCAGCACAAACAGAGAGAGAAUUUAAUCUCUCGGAGGAAAACUGCUAUUUUGAGGUAAGCGUUAAUCCAUUGAUUUGUAUUUGCAAGUGUUUGGAGGACAAAACAGAGCCAAGAUAAGCCUAAACCAAAAGGGUUGUGCUAAUUCUCCAAACCAAGGUAGGUUUGAACUACUUUGAUAUGAUGCUGGCUGGACGUGGCCAGCCCGGCUCUCCACCCUUCUUGGUGUAAGGAUGCCCGACUUGGUUUAACAACCGUUGAGCUUGUUGGUGCUCCUCCCAGAUCUAAAGGUAGACUUUAGAGGUGUACAUGACAAAAGAGGACCUGGUGCCUGGGAAAGCCAUGGCACUGGAUCUUGCUCACCGAGGAGAACGUGUCAGGAGCAUCCUCCAUAAAGGCAUUUAACAACUAAAAAUACCCCUAGUGGCAGCUGCUGCUUUAAAUUAAAUUCGGGCAGGAGGUGCAGGGUCUGCUUGGUGACCAGGCUCCCCAGCAGACAGCCACAUCCCCAGAGCGGGAGAAGGAGAGGCUGUUCAGGAGGAGGCAGGACCCUCAUCCAGCGCUGCGGGGAGCAGGGGCUGCAGGAGCACCUUGGCCAUCCUCCUCCUUUCCCCUGCCUGCUCAGCUCUGGGGAUCUCCCUGUGCUGAUGCUUCCCAUCAUUAUUUGGACUUACUGCCAUCAGAGAAGAAGAAGAUCUGACACCUCCUCCCUGUGUCCAUUGUGCAGCACCCCACAGCCAAGCCCGUGGGUAAAAUAUCUCAUUGGUUAUCACUAAACCUUUUUUUGCCUUUCCAGCUAUGAAUUACUUGUACAAACCCCCUCCCCCCAACUUUUACUCUCCUGGCAGGGGCAGUGUGUGGUUUAGGGAGAGGGAGAGUUUCCCUUUCCCUGCAGGUGGGAAUGAUCUCUCCUAAAGCAAACAGGUCGCUAAUUAACGCAAAACCCCUGCGUUACUUGAAGCGAGGUUUUUCUUGCCAACCCUGUCAAACGAGCACAGCUCAACAAAGUCUUCAGGCAGUUCAGGAAAGGUUUGGGGUCAUUUGGGUUAGGCUGGUUUAAAAACCACCUUUCCGAGGGGGCGGAUGAAAGGUGUCAACUGAGGCAUUCCUCAUCCCGCUCCUCUUCUCUCUAUCAAGAGGGAGCUGGUUGAUGAGCAACAGUGGGGAAGGAAAAACUGUCAGCAACCAAAGCCUUACAGAAAAAAAACCCAAAGAGGAGUAGCCAUGAGGUUGCAUAGAAUUGUUAUUUCUCAGCACUGGUUAUGGCAGGAGGCUGUUGUCCCUCCUCUGGAGAUGUGUUAGUGCCCAUCGCAGGGAGACCCUGCUGUAGCUCACAGCCACCCGCUGCCGAUGCCGCUCACAGAAAAGCAUUGUAGCAAAAAAAUACAGAAUAUUUUCUCAUUAAAAAAAAAGGAAGAUGGGGAGGGAGAGGGCAAGGCAACGAGCAGGGGAGAUGGAUUGUGCUGUGGCACUGAGAUGAGCGCGGAGAAGCUAUACAUUAAUCAUCGUGAGCGGGGAAGGGGGGGAAAUUCUACAGCUCUAUCAGGAGAAAGCGUUUGCUGUUGUGAAACGAUGCUGCUGCAAAGGUCCCCGUGCACCUGCAGCUCUGUCCCUCCUCGGGAGCUUGUCUGUCCCUGCUCCUGGCUGGGGAAUCCCAGCUCCCAGGCUUGGGAGUUCAGGCUAAGAGUCCUCAGCCCCCUUCCCUUGGCAUCCAGUAUCCCCUCUGCUCUGCACUGAUGUACAAAUCUUUAAUGUGUCGUUAAUUCUGUCCCCCCGCAUGGGAUCUACCCUGAGGACAUCCUAAAUAAUAACUCGAGCAUCACUGCUGCUCCCUUGGGCAGCUCCUGUGUGAGUAUUGCCAAAGCCUGUCCCCUUGGGGGACCCUCGCUUGUCCUCAGCGCCUUUCGGUUUACACUGGGAUGAAGACGGAUGCUGCUGCCGUGGCUAGGGAGUGAGAGUGGCUUGGUGCUGCCGUCGGGGCUGGAAGAAGCAUCAGGGCUAUUUUUCAAGGUAACUAGUCAAAGGAGGUACUUAGCUGGGCACAGGGUUCCCACAAGUGUCUGUAUGUCCUGAUGUCCCCUCUGUUCCACACACCCCCACUGGUCCUUUGCAGCAGUUCUCGCCCUGCCUAGAAGAGGGAGGUGGAUUGCUGUGCUGCAGAGCUGAUUACAGGGUCUUCUCUGCAACAAAUUUGCAUAAUGCUACUACUACUACUACUAAAUAAUUACUAUAUUUCUCCAGGAAAAGCAGCCAAAGCUCUGUCUCAGGACUCCUGUUCGCACUU